UAUUCUUGGAUCUGGAGAGAUUCUCUUACAGUUUAUUUUUGGUAUUAGUUUCCUAGAGGCAACUAGAGGUAAUGUUGCUUAUGACUCUGGAUACAUUCUCUAUGUUUUUUAUAUUGUAUUGAGUGUGUUGGGUAUUGGGUCCCCUGCCUUUUCUUUUGGUUCUAUUGCAAACGAAUGGUCUGUCCUGUGAGAACCACCCAUUAAGGUAUCUUUCAGCCUUCAUGUACAAAUUAAAACUGAUUUUAGUUUCGUCAGUGUGUGUUCCUUUUCUUUUGUAGUUUUCCUUGAUUGUUGCUAAAGUCUGAGACUCUGGAGGAAUUCAUGGAAAUCCUAAAAUGGGCAU
rnacentral:misc_RNA from 1 species